UACGGGGGGAGCAAGCGUUGUUCGGAAUUACUGGGCGUAAAGGGCGCGUAGGCGGCCUUCUAAGUCAUGCGUGAAAUCCCCGGGCUCAACCCGGGAACUGCGUCUGAUACUGGAAGGCUCGAAUCCGGGAGAGGGAUGUGGAAUUCCAGGUGUAGCGGUGAAAUGCGCAGAUAUCGGGAAGAACACCCGUGGCGAAGGCGGCUCGCUGGGACGGUACUGACGCUGAGACGCGAAAGCGUGGGGAGCGAACAGG
rnacentral:rRNA from 1 species